AACGUUUUAAAAACGUAUUAAUCGGAGUGAUGUUUUUAUCAAUAGCAUUACUUUCAGCGAACCAGGAUAAUUUUGAGUUGUUAUUGAAUUUUCUCCUAACCUAUAAAGACAUUCUUAUCAUGUUCUUUCUUAAUCGUGUUCUUGCUGGAAUGUCAACUUUUAUUACAUGUCACCUAUACGAUAGCUCGAACAAAUGGCUUCGUAAAUCUAGUUUGCAAUGAUUAAAUUAAAAAUUGAAGAACAAACAUAAGUAAUUAUUUUCUUCAAGCUUCCACUGACAAUGAAAUGACAGAAUUUUAUCUUCGAUCAAUAUGACUACAGGUCUAAUAUUAUCAAGAUUAUUGACAGUCCUUCACAACUCGUGUAGCUGCUAAUACUUAUUGUGUUUGGGAAUAGUAACGGUUUUCAUAGAAGAUGUCUUGAAAUAAACUGUGUGUUUCUAGGCUGCAACUAGACCAUGGUCUAAGUGAAGCAAGAAUUUGACAUUGCCUCAAAAUAUUAGCAAAUUCAAGCAAUACGGCAGUGAAGCUCUUGUUGGAAGUAAUCAGACGUGUUUUGAGAGUUGAAACGAAGCUUAUUACUGUGGAAAUUUCUCAAAUUCUUCAUUUCAAUAAGGCAAUACGGCAGUGAAGCUCUUGUUAGAAGUAAUCAGACGUGUUUUGAGAGUUGAAACGAAGCUUAUAACUAAGGAAAUUUCUCAAUUCUUAAUUACAAUAAGGCAAUACGGCAGUGAAGCUCUUGUUGGAAGUAAUCAGACGUGUUUUGAGAGUUGAAACGAAGCUUAUAACUGUGGACAUUUCUCAAUUCCUAAUUACAAUAAGGUGAGUUUU